rnacentral:tRNA from 1 species
GCGCCUGUGGCGGAACUGGUAGACGCGCAAGGUUGAGGGCCUUGUCCGGUGCAAGCCGGGUGGGAGUUCGAAUCUCCCUGGGCGCA